rnacentral:rRNA from 1 species
ACGAACGCUGGCGGCGUGCCUAAUACAUGCAAGUAGAACGCUGACGAUUGAAAGUUUACUUUUAAUCUGAUGAGUUGCGAACGGGUGAGUAACACGUGGCUAACCUGCCUCUUAGCGGGGGAUAACACUUGGAAACAGGUGCUAAUACCGCAUAACACUUUUUCUCGCAUGGGAGAAAGUUGAAAGGUGCUUUCAAGCAUCACUAAGAGAUGGAGCCGCGGUGCAUUAGCUAGUAGGCGGGGUAACGGCCCACCUAGGCGAUGAUGCAUAGCCGACCUGAGAGGGUGAUCGGCCACAUUGGGACUGAGACACGGCCCAAACUCCUACGGGAGGCAGCAGUAGGGAAUCUUCGGCAAUGGACGCAAGUCUGACCGAGCAACGCCGCGUGAGUGAAGAAGGUUUUCGGAUCGUAAAACUCUGUUGUUGGAGAAGAACAAGAGGAAAAGGAAAUGUUUCCUCCUUGACGGUAUCCAACCAGAAAGCCACGGCUAACUACGUGCCAGCAGCCGCGGUAAUACGUAGGUGGCAAGCGUUGUCCGGAUUUAUUGGGCGUAAAGCGAGCGCAGGCGGUUUCUUAAGUCUGAUGUGAAAGCCCCCGGCUCAACCGGGGAGGGUCAUUGGAAACUGGGAAACUUGAGUGCAGAAGAGGAGAGUGGAAUUCCAUGUGUAGCGGUGAAAUGCGUAGAUAUAUGGAGGAACACCAGUGGCGAAGGCGGCUCUCUGGUCUGUAACUGACGCUGAGGCUCGAAAGCGUGGGGAGCGAACAGGAUUAGAUACCCUGGUAGUCCACGCCGUAAACGAUGAUCACUCGUUGUUGGGCAGUAAUGUUCAGUGGCUAAGCGAAAGCGAUAAGUGAUCCACCUGGGGAGUACGAUCGCAAGGUUGAAACUCAAAGGAAUUGACGGGGGCCCGCACAAGCGGAGGAGCAUGUGGUUUAAUUCGAUGAUACGCGAGGAACCUUACCCGGGCUUGAACGUAAGACGAAUGUACGGGAAACCGUACAGCCUACGGGCGUCUUGCGAGGUGCUGCAUGGUUGUCGUCAGCUCGUGCCGUGAGGUGUUGGGUUAAGUCCCGCAACGAGCGCAACCCCUACCGCCAGUUACCAGCAGGAAAGCUGGGGACUCUGGCGGAACUGCCGGCGACAAGCCGGAGGAAGGCGGGGAUGACGUCAAGUCAUCAUGGCCCUUAUGUCCAGGGCUACACACGUGCUACAAUGGCCUGCACAAAGCGAAGCGAGCCCGAGAGGGCGCAGCGAACCGCCGAAAGCCGGCCGUAGUCCGGAUUGAAGUCUGAAACCCGACUUCAUGAAGCUGGAAUCGCUAGUAAUCGCGCAUCAGCAUGGCGCGGUGAAUACGUUCCCGGGCCUUGUACACACCGCCCGUCACACCAUCCGAGUUGGGGGCACCCGAAGCCGGCAGUCUAACCGCAAGGGGGACGCUGUCGAAGGUGCGCCGGGCGAGGAGGGUG